UUAAUGACCACUGGGUUGAAGCAAUUACCGUUACGUUACGUGUCUUGAACAAGGACACAUACACCCACAAUGAUAGCAGCGACGAGCCUCGAACUCGUUAUCUCUAUGGUUGAGGCCCCCGCGUCAACUUUUUUUGCCACAGCGCCGGACUUCAUUACGAAACAGUAAUCUUGCAAAUACGAUUGCAACAUUGUUAUAAAUAGAUUCGAUUUGGUUUUCAUUUGUUUAUUCGCAAACUUUGAACGAUUUGAAUGCGCAAAUAUAUAUGCACGGCUUCCGUGGACCCGUUCACAGCCCUAUAUAAGCGCAAGAAGAUGGACUGCAAAGGUACACUAUUCUACCUGGAAUACCAUCAAGGUGGAAAGUGACGAGAUAGAACGUUUUAAACGUAUGUAGUUGAAUUUUGACCUAACUUACGCCUCUUACCAUUUCGUUAAAUAGAUAUUAUUCAUAAUUAUACAUUGCGGUGGUGAUAAAAGACACAUGUCAGAAUGAGAAACACCGUAUUUACUGUUGUACUGGUCGUCGUGUGUUUUCAUACUUUAUAUGGUUCUGAUGCACAACUCUCGGAGUUAAACCAAGACGCGUCUAAUCGCCAUAAGCGUUCUCAACCUACGUACCAUGUGAUUAACACAUGCAUGAGACGCGAAUUUGCAAAUACCAUCCGAGGGGGCGUAAAAGUUCCGUGGACCUACACAGCAACACUCUUUUUAGUUGAUACACUAUAUGCCAAUUGUAAUGUUAUGUCGUUACAACCCGAAGGACUAAUUGCAUGUACUAAUCGGACUGUAAACUACGAGGUUGAGCGAUUUAGAAGAAUCGUGGCGGAUUGCAUGGCGGUAUUUUAAGUGAACAGAUUCCGUUACAAUUUAAACAGGAGCACCGACAAGAAAACAAACAAGUUUCUAUUUAUUAUAAUUUACAUAUACCCAGAAAUUACCUGUAUACCCUGCUACGUGAAUUGUGUUGUGUACAUGCCAAUAUACUAUGUAUGUGAAAGAA